UUUGUUUACAUCCUGUUCUCGGGAUGUCAGAAAGAGAGAGAGAGAGAAAGAAAGGGUGGAGGAAGAAUAUAUAUUUAAUGCAACUUAGUAACAAACUUCUCGCUUCUUAAACGAAUGCAUAAGCGCAGCGUUGAAACAAACAAAACAGAAUAUAACAGUGGGGAGUUGCACUGUGUUUUGAUAUUCGACUAUGUCAACACAGCGUCAGCACCCAUGUUUACCCCCAGUCUGAAUUUUAUCUGCGCAACAUUAGUUGGAAUGCGGACGUGAAAUAUAUAACACACACGCGCACAUUAGCAGCAAUCCAUGUGGCAAUUAACCAAUUUUUAAACAACACAGAAGCAAAAGAAUAGAGAUUUUAAACAGACUCCCUGCCUCCCCAUUAUAAGAACUGUACAGGAAGAUGCAAGGAAAAAGUUGUAAUUAAUUCACAUCAUGCUGCCCUUCAUUAUGGUGCUGUGUCAAAAGAAAUGACCCGGCAUUUUAAAAAUUGCAACACCUCCCCUACCUUAUGCCCAAUCAGGAUACAUUUUAUUGGCAUUUAGUUUUUAAAGGCAAGGUUUAAAACCGCUAUUUAGUUUCUAGGAAAGCUGGAAUGACUUACGUUUCGAGGAAUCAGGUUCUGCGAGAAUUCUCAACCCCCGCAAAUGCAAGUUUUGAUUGUUUCUUUUUUAAAAAAAAACCUCAUUCUUCUCAAGCCAUAUUUGGUGGCGGGUUCUCUUUUGGAAACGGAUACUGACAUCAGGUGAAGUGUUGCUGCUGAGGAGUUUGGGAAACAUCCAUCCCACACACAUAGACUGUAAAAGUGAAGAUAAACAAGAAGGAGAAGGUAGACCUGCUGCUGCAUAAACCUACUAUUAAAGUAACUGAGACUUCCAGCUUUUCAUCUGGACUGUUUGCAGUAGAUUGCGUCGCUUCAACGUGUUUCUAUCCCACUGCUGUUGUGUUUCGUAACUAGAUUAUAUCAUGUCCAUCAUCAUGUGACAUAGUGAGGCCUGGAUGGAAACUUGCGGGGUGGGAAGGAGCCGCGUGUUUAAGAGAUUUGCAGCCCCAUCUUCCUAACCCGGCUGCAAAAAUAAAACUAUCUCUACAUUGCAACGUUUCGUUUUCACCAGGGCCAGCGAAAUCAUUCAAGCAAAUGGACCCAAUCCCUUCCAACGCUGUUAUGCUCGCGUUCUGAGCAUGUCACCAUGGAGGAAGUUUAUGUAUUUUUCUUAAAGUGUUCGCCGUCGUUUUUUUUUAUAUAAAGUGCUGCGGCUGAAAGCCCCUAGCACUUUCCUUAAAGGGAGCCGGACAUACGUUGCAUUUUUACAUUGACAAAAUGUUAAUUACAGCGCCAUUGUCAGGUCUGUUGACAAGUUGCGCUGUGGUCGCUGUUCUUAACUUUGUCUUGCCAAGAUAGUUCAAACACUGUGAAAUGAGACCUCACCCAGCGUUGAAAUCGAAUAACAAUUAUCCCGUCGCAACAGCAGGGAACCAACAACAGUCAAACAAGCUGUCGGAGUUUCCCGUCAUGGCUGAUGAGGCUUGAAUGAUGUUGUCGGCAUGACGCCAGCAGUCAGCUGAUGCCCUGAAUUCCUGCACUGAUGUGAGUCAGCACCAACAAGCAAGGAGGGCCAAAGUUCAAUGUGAAAGGUGAAUAUUUCCUGAUGCCUUUAAAACUGCAGCUGUCAUGCAUUCCAUCACCCGGUGAAGAGAUGCAGAAAAGGCAUUCAGUAAACUCGAUGCUUGGCGAAUGCUAAACUGAGAAUCAGUUUUACACAUUCAUACGGGCCAUUUUGCCAGUUGGGAUGAUUGCCUGUUGAAGGCUGAGAUCACUGCUUUCCCAGGAUCGAGCUGAUGACCUCUUGUGAUGAUCACCACAGAGCAAGUAUGACAGGGCCAGCUCACAGAGAGAAGCAUACAAUGGAAUAAGACUCAAGAACUUUCACUGGGAAGCAAUCGUUAUUUGCACCAUUAUGCCUGAGGUUGUCCUCGUUGGUUUAGUAUUGAGUCGUGCUGGUCUGGGAGCAGACUUAGAGCUGAAGCUGACCGUGUGCAGAUUAAACAGCCCAUCGACAAACUUGCAAAUGUUAACAUGCAUGCAACCAUUACUUCAGCUUCUUUGGUAAAAUUUUCGGAAAAUUUGGAAAAAUACAUGCUGCGGUGGUGGAGAGAGGUUGCGGGGAGAUGUUGAGCAGAAGAUCCGGUCUAUUCCUCGUGGUCAUGGCAGUCACCUCUUGAGCGUCUGUUCCAGCUUCAAUGGAUUGGGGUCCGUUCUUUUCCUCUGAUGUUUUGGCGGAGGAGUGAAUGGCCUCUCGCUCCACGGGAGUUAAUUUGGACGGUCAAUUGGGUCUUGGAAGCCGAGAUGGGCCCCGGUCCUCGAGAGGUACGACAGUUUCCCAGCUAUAGCUGUGGCUGGAGUAUCAGCGGUGAUGAGGCAGCAUUGGCAGAGAUGGCGUUCUGGGUCUGGUCAGCGGUGGGUGGGGGCUGCCCUCAGCGUGCUUCCUCCUUGGUGUUGCAGCCUUAGCGACAACUUUGGUAGCUGUGGAAUGUGGUGACAUCCUAUAGGGGAGACGAUGGCCUCGUGGUAUUAUCGCUAGACUGUUAAUCCGGAAACCAAACAACAUUCUGGGAACCCGGGUUCAAGUCCUGACAUGACUGAUGG